GAUGAACGCUAGCUACAGGCUUAACACAUGCAAGUCGCGGGACCGGCGCACGGGUGAGUAACGCGUAUACAACCUGCCCUUCACCACGGGAUAACCCGGCGAAAGUCGGACUAAUACCGAAUGGGGAAGGAAGGGGGUGCGUCCGAUUUGCUUGACGGUGGGGUAACGGCCCACCGUGGCUACGAUCGGUAGGGGUUCUGAGAGGAAGGUCCCCCACACUGGAACUGAGACACGGUCCAGACUCCUACGGGAGGCAGCAGUGAGGAAUAUUGGGCAAUGGGCGUAAGCCUGAACCAGCCAAGUAGCGUGCAGGACGACGGCGUAUGGGUUGUAAACUGCUUUUAUGCGGGGAUAGGUACCGCAUGAAUAAGGACCGGCUAAUUCCGUGCCAGCAGCCGCGGUAAUAC
rnacentral:rRNA from 1 species